UAGGGAAUCUUCGGCAAUGGACGAAAGUCUGACCGAGCAACGCUGCGUGAGUGAAGAAGGUUUUCGGAUCGUAAAACUCUGUUGUUAGAGAAGAACAAGGACGUUAGUAACUGAACGUCCCCUGACGGUAUCUAACCAGAAAGCCACGGCUAACUACGUGCCAGCAGCCGCGGUAAUACGUAGGUGGCAAGCGUUGUCCGGAUUUAUUGGGCGUAAAGCGAGCGCAGGCGGUUUCUUAAGUCUGAUGUGAAAGCCCCCGGCUCAACCGGGGAGGGUCAUUGGAAACUGGGAGACUUGAGUGCAGAAGAGGAGAGUGGAAUUCCAUGUGUAGCGGUGAAAUGCGUAGAUAUAUGGAGGAACACCAGUGGCGAAGGCGGCUCUCUGGUCUGUAACUGACGCUGAGGCUCGAAGGCGUGGGGAGCAAACAGG
rnacentral:rRNA from 1 species